GAUGAACGCUGGCGGCGUGCUUAACACAUGCCAGUCGAACGGCAAGGCCCAAGCUUGCUUGGGUACUCGAUUGGCGAAAGGGUGAGUAACACGUGGGUGAUCUGCCCUGCACUUCGGGAUAAGCCUGGGAAACUGGGUCUAAUACUGGAUAGCACCACUCCUUGGGUGUUGUGGUGGAAAGUUUUUUCGGUGUGGGUUGAGCUGGCGGCUUAUCCGCUUGUUGGUGGGGUAAUGGGCUACCAAGGCGUCGACGGGUAGCCGGCCUUAGGCGGUGUACGGCCACAUUGAGACUGAGAUACGGCCGAGACUGCUAAGGGAGGCAGCAGUGGGGAAUAUUGCACAAUGGGCGCAAGCCUGAUGAAGAGACGCCGCGUGGGGGAUGACGGCCUUGGGGUUGUAAACUCCUUUCGCUAGGGACGAAGCGUUUUCUGACGGUACCUGGAGAAGAAGCACCGGCUAACUACGUG
rnacentral:rRNA from 1 species